rnacentral:rRNA from 1 species
AUACAACAGCCAUAAUUUACUUGAUGUUGAUAUUCCACGUGGAUAACUGUGGUAAUUCUAGAGCUAAUACAUGCACCAAAGCUCCGAUCUCAUGACGAGCGCAUCUAUUAGACCAAAAACCAAUCGAGAAUAUUCGCCUCAAAACGAAUGCCUCGUAAAUUUGGUGACUCUGAAUAGCUUAGCUGAUCGCAUGGUCUCGCACCGGCGACGUAUCUAUCAAGUGUCUGCCUUAUCAACUUUCGAUGGUAGUUUAUAUGCCUACCAUGGUUGUAACGGGUAACGGAGAAUAAGGGUUCGACUCCGGAGAGGGAGCCUGAGAAACGGCUACCACAUCCAAGGAAGGCAGCAGGCGCGCAAAUUACCCACUCUCAGCACGAGGAGGUAGUGACGAAAAAUAACGAGACCGUUCUCUUCGAGGCCGGUUAUCGGAAUGAGUACAAUUUAAAGCCGUUAACGAGGAUCUAUGAGAGGGCAAGUCUGGUGCCAGCAGCCGCGGUAAUUCCAGCUCUCAAAGUGUAUAUCGUCAUUGCUGCGGUUAAAAAGCUCGUAGUUGGAUUUAAGCUCGAUGACUCGGUCCAUCCAUAGGAUGAGAACUGAGCUCAUCGGCUAUCAUCGGCUGGUUUUGUCUAGGUGGCUUUAAACGGUUGCCUAGGCUGGCUAGCAAGUUUACUUUGAAAAAAUUAGAGUGCUCAACGCGGGCUUAAUGCCUGAAUAGUCGUGCAUGGAAUAAUGGAAUAGGAUUUCGGUUCUAUUUUGUUGGUUUUUUUAACCGAAAUAAUGGUUAAGAGGGACAGACGGGGGCAUUCGUAUCGCUACGUGAGAGGUGAAAUUCUUGGACCGUAGCGAGACGCCCGACUGCGAAAGCAUUUGCCAAGAAUGUCUUCAUUAAUCAAGAACGAAAGUCAGAGGUUCGAAGG